GAUGAACGCUGGCGGCGUGCUUAACACAUGCAAGUCGAACGGUAAGGCCGUACUUUUGUGUGCUGCUCGAGUGGCGAACGGGUGAGUAACACGUGAGCAACCUGCCCUUGACUUUGGGAUAAGUUCAGGAAACGGGGGCUAAUACCGGAUAGGAGCUGCUGCUGCAUGGUGAGCAGUGGAAAGUCUCUGCGGUCGGGGAUGAACUCGCGGCUUAUCAGCUUGUUGGUGGGGUAGUGGCUUACCAAGGCUUUGACGGGUAGCCGGCCUGAGAGGGUGACCGGCCACAUUGGGACUGAGAUACGGCCCAGACUCCUACGGGAGGCAGCAGUGGGGAAUAUUGCACAAUGGGCGGAAGCCUGAUGCAGCAACGCCGCGUGCGGGAUGACGGCCUUCGGGUUGUAAACCGCUUUCGGCUGUGACGAAGCGUGAGUGACGGUACCGGGAGAAGAAGCACCGGCUAACUACGUG
rnacentral:rRNA from 1 species